UCUCCAGGCUCCGUCCGCAGCCUGGGGCCCGCAGUGUUUCCCUCACGUGACCAGGCCCUGCGGUGGGCGGUGCCUCUCUCGCUGGAGCCUGAGAGGAUUAUGAAAACUGGGCAGGCGGAGCGCGGCCAGGGGACCUGAGG
ensembl:scaRNA